rnacentral:rRNA from 1 species
UUGGAGUUCGAUUAAACCAUGCGAGUCUAGGGGUACUUGUACCCCUGGCAUAAUGCUCAGUAACACGUGGAUAAUCUACCCUCUGGUGGGGCAUAAACCCGGGAAACUGGGGCUAAUACCCCAUAGACACAGAAAACUGGAAUGUUUCUGUGUUCAAAGCUCCGGCGCCAGAGGAUGAGUCUGCGGCCUAUCAGGUUGUAGUCAGGGUCAUGACCUGACUAGCCAGCGACGGGUACGGGGUGUGAGAGCACUCGCCCGGAGAUGGUUUCUGAGACACGAAACCAGGCCCUACGGGGCGCAGCAGGUGCGAAAACUUCGCAAUGCGGGAAACCGUGACGAGGGAACUCCAAGUGUCUAUGCAUUGCAUAGACUGUUUUUUAGCCUAAAUAGCUAUUAGAAUAAGGGGUGGGUAAGACCGGUGCCAGCCGCCGCGGUAACACCGGCACCCCGAGUGGUAGCCACUAUUAUUGGGCCUAAAGCGUUCGUAGCCGGUUUGGUAAAUUCUUGGGUAAAUCGUACCGCUUAACGGUGCGGAUUCUGGGGACACUACCAGACUUGAGACCGGGAGAGAUUAGAGGUACUUGCGGGGGAGCGGUGAAAUGUUGUAAUCCCGCAGGGACCACCAGUGGCGAAGGCGUCUAAUUCGAACGGCUUCUGACGUGAAGGACGAAACCUNGGGGCGCGAACCGGAUUAGAUACCCGGGUAGUCCUAGGCGUAAACGCUGCUGACUUGGUGUUGGAAGAUGUCCCU